AGGAGUUUGAUCCUGGCUCAGGAUGAACGCUAGCGGCAGGCCUAAUACAUGCAAGUCGAGGGGCAGCAGUACUUUUCGGAGUAGCUGGCGACCGGCGCACGGGUGCGUAACGCGUAUGCAAUCUACCCACAGCACAGGGAUAGCCCGUGGAAACAUGGAUUAAUACCUGAUAACACAUUGUUUUCACCUGGGGACGAUGUUAAAGUUAUAACGGCAGUGGAUGAGCAUGCGUCCCAUUAGCUAGUUGGUGAGAUAACGGCUCACCAAGGCGAUGAUGGGUAGGGGUUCUGAGAGGAUGAUCCCCCACACUGGUACUGAGAUACGGACCAGACUCCUACGGGAGGCAGCAGUAGGGAAUAUUGGUCAAUGGACGCAAGUCUGAACCAGCCAUGCCGCGUGCAGGAAGACGGCCUUCUGGGUUGUAAACUGCUUUUCUCAGGGAAGAAAAACGCUCUUGCGAGAGCACUUGCCGGUACCUGAGGAAUAAGCACCGGCUAACUCCGUGCCAGCAGCCGCGGUAAUACGGAGGGUGCAAGCGUUGUCCGGAUUUAUUGGGUUUAAAGGGUGCGUAGGCGGCCCGUUAAGUCAGUGGUGAAAGGUAUCAGCUUAACUGAUGAAGUGCCAUUGAAACUGAAGGGCUUGAGUACAGACGAGGUAGGCGGAAUUUAUGGUGUAGCGGUGAAAUGCAUAGAUACCAUA
rnacentral:rRNA from 1 species